rnacentral:lncRNA from 1 species
AUCAGUCUGGGGGGGACCCGGGCGGGGGGCGUUGGGGAAGCCGCGGCCUGGACCGGGACCCACAGCGGCGGCUCCACCUGGGGCAGGGCUCUGACCCGCACUCGGCCUGCGGUGUGCACGUCUAGUAGGAGACAAUCACUAAUUGCCUGCUGACUAGAUCGUCAAACAAAAUUCUGAUGACCAGCUGGCUCUAAUUAUUGUCAUUCCUUUGCAGACAGGCAGAGAGCAGGGAGCAGGAGAGGGAGACACAGACUCCUCAAGCACACUCGGCCCCAAGCGCAGAGCCUGCCAGGGGCGGGUUCCCAGGAUGCUGAGGCCAUGACCUGAGCCACAACCAAGAGUCAGAUGCUAAGUGACAGAGCCGCAGGCGUCAAGCCCCGUGUUCCUGCUGUGGGCACUCCUGCCUUCCCCCCCCCCCCCGCAGCCACUGAGAGCUCGGGCUUUGGUCUGCGCUCCAACUCCCAGGUGGUCUGGAGGCUACAGUGCAGGCUGCACGUCUCCUCUGUCCCACCUCAGGCUGAAAGGGCCUCAGCCCUGAGAAGGAAUCAGAUCUGCCCAACCACCCCCAGCCGGAGGGAGCUGCUGGAGCAGCAGGUAGAAGAACUGGUGCCUGCCUUGCUGCGCUUGGACAAUCCGUUCCUAUUUGAAUUCCUAAAUGUUUUGGAGGUAUAUGGCACCCCUGAAGAGGUGCUGGACCUGCUGUUUGCAAAGUGAGCACCCUGACUCCACAGCCCAGGGGGAUGGGCCACCUACUUGUUGGGAGUCUUGGGGAAUGUUCCUGCCUUCCCGGCCCCUGGGGCUGCUCCUCCGACUGGAGUAGAGUCACGCAGGGCCUAGUCGGGUCCCGCAGGGCAGCCCCCGGGCCUGGCCUGUGACAGGUCGGCUAGAGGGGCUGUGCUUGUGCUCAGCAGUCGUCGUUCUGUCCCCAUGACGAAGCCUGUGCCGCCUCCCCACCAUCACCAGGGUCUUGAGCUGGCCUGUUUUACCAUGGAAAGGGAGUUUUGAGUCCAUCUGGGGUCUGUAUCCUGGGGCAUUCGCAGUAGGGGUCCCCGGGGACACCGGGGCGCCCAGGCCCACUUGGAUAUCGGCCAUGGGCCUGGCCGGAGCCCUUUCAUUCCUCAAGCAUUCAGGAAGCGCCAGCAGGUGCAGGUGCUUCUCCAGGAGCUGCCCAUGACCCCACGCACAGAGCUGACGGCCCCCCAGGGCUCCGGACUAGUCAGAGGUCAGAGGGUGACAGCAGCUAUGAGGAGAGAUCGGGUCCACAGGAGGAUUCCUGUGAUGCCCCCGCCCUCCUCUGGAUAUCGAUGCAUUGUAGCUUCCUGCAAGAAGGAAGGAAUCCUGGACCAGUGGGAAAUGUGAGUGAGCCCUGGCUCAUGCAGGGGAGCCUUCCCUCUCCAGGAGGGCCGCGAGGGGGCUGUGGGCUGGAGGGGCUGCUGGACCCUCACCCCACAAGUCUGCAAUUCCUGUGACAGGGUGAAGGUCUAAUGGGUCCUUUGAGAAAAGAGGAAAGGAGAGCUGUGGAUGGGAUACGGGCUUUGUGGGAGAGCACUGGGACCUCUAAUGGAGUCCUUCUCCACACCUGCCCCCUUCAAAGCCCUCUGUCUCCCCGCCACCUGGGACCCAGAGCAGAGGGUGUGGGGAGCAUCGCACUCACCAAUCUGGUGGCACCUGGACCCAGGUGCACGGCAGGUGCUCAGGAGGGCCAGUGAGUGCUCACGGACCAGACGGCCCCCGCCCCGUGGGAGAUUAGAGUCAGUGGAAGGACACCCCCUGGGGGCCCCUCGUGAGUGAGGCAGGGCAGACCCACGGGAGGGAAGGUUCCCCGGGAAAGACAGUGAUGGUCACGCCGCUGGUCAUGGGCUCCCACGCACAGAGGCUUCGUGCCAGCCCUUCCUCAGUGAGCAGGGCUGUGGCAGGCAGGACCACCAGGUGGCAGGUGGACAAGGAGCAGCACUGGCCUCCAACAGCCCCAUGUGGGAGGCCGAGGGCCCCAGUUCCUGCAGGGCUUCCCCAGGACACCUUGGUGUGAGGGAGCCCUGUCAUCCAAUGCCUCUGCCCAUCCGUACCUCCAGCUCCAUCUCCUGCAUCCUGGACAUCUGGCUGGACUACUUUCGGGAGGAUUUCAUCAGCCACCGGAAUUUCUCUCCCUGAGGAAGCUGCUGGCAUUCAUGGGGCUCAACACGCCAGGCUCAGACCUGGAAAACCGGGCCCAACGUUACCUGGAGCUCGUGGAAUUAGACGAUGAGGAUGAGGAGGACUGGGGUGGCCGAGCUGGGGACAGGAUGGGCCACACAGACCCAGCCUCCAUGCAGCUGGGCCGGGAGCACAGGGUAGGCUCACACCCCAUCCCCAUGGGCUGCAGUUUGGGGAGACCUCCCAGGGCUCUUGCACUCACACACCUUGAAUGGUGGGAAGAGUGUCCUUGAUUUGAGAGGGACGUGGAAAGUGUGUCCUGGUGAUGAUACUUUGUCUUCUUGGGGCUAUAGCUUCGGACCCCGAGCAACACCCUGAACCACCUCAGGAGCCCACCCCAGCUCUGACUGUGGGGCCUGCUGAAGCUUCUGGGCCUGAUCUGUUCAAGCCGGGAAUGGCUGCUAGAGCUGAGUGUAUUGCCCGAGUCAAGAUGCAAGCUGCUGAGUCAAAGCCAAUGCACGUGGUGGUCAAACCUUUGACUCAGUGUCCCGACUUGGAGGAGCCACCUGCACCCUUGGCUGACCUGGAUGAGGAGCAGGCCCCAGAGCCUGCAAUCAAGCUCCUGGAAGUGCCGGAGCAGCCACCUGUCUCAGUGGAGCAAGUAGCCUCCGCCCCAGAGCAAUAUCCUGAACCACCUCAAGAGCCCGGCGCAGCUCCUACCUCAGGGCCUGCUGAAGCAUCAGAGCCAGAGGUGAUCGAGCCGGUCUUGGCUGCUGGAGUGGAGUGCUUGCGAGGAGGCGAGAUGGCACCUGCUGAUUCGAAGCCACUGCAGGUGUUGGUCACACCUCUGAUUCACUGUCUGACCCGGAGGAGCCACCUGCACCCUUGGCCCCUCCAAAAGGUGGAGCAGGCCUCAGUGCCCCCUCUUGAGUUCGUCGAAGGGCCGGAUCAGCCACCGGCCUCAGUGGAGCCACCAGCCUCGUCCCCCGAGCAACAGCUCGUGAUGGCUGCAGCACAACUGAAACCUUCCCCUCCCCUCUCGUGUGCUGUUUCUGUAUUUUGUGUUUUUCAUAAGCCUCUAUAAUUGCAUCAUGAGUUUUGUUUGUAAUAAAGGAUGUUAACUUCGUACAAAAA